CUGCAGCUCCCUCAUAUUGAAGAGGACAAUCUUAGACGGGUUUCUAAUCAUAAGAAGUAUAAAAUUAAAACUAUCCAGGAUUUGGUGAGUUUAAAAGAAUCAGAUCGUCACACUCUACUGCACUUCCUUGAAGAUGAAAAAUAUGAAGAGGUUAUGGCUGUCCUUGGGAGUUUUCCAUAUGUGACCAUGGAUAUAAAAUCACAGGUGUUAGAUGAUGAAGAUAGCAACAACAUCACAGUAGGAUCCUUAGUUACAGUGUUGGUUAAGUUGACAAGGCAAACAAUGGCUGAAGUAUUUGAAAAGGAGCAGUCCAUCUGUGCUGCAGAGGAACAGCCAGCAGAAGAUGGGGUAAAAACUUGGGUUUCCGAACCUAUUUUUCCUAGUGAAAGAAAUAUUUUAUUUACUUUUCCAAUUGACUUAUAUUGCUCUGGGAGAGUAAUUCAGUUUAGCUAUUUCCACCUAAAAAUUACUACAACCUUCAAUUGAAUCUGUUGCUAUAACUUACGAGUGUGACGUGUUAUGAUUCACAGCAGGGUGAAACUAACAAGAACAGGACAAAAGGAGGAUGGCAACAGAAGAGUAAAGGACCCAAGAAAACUGCUAAAU
rnacentral:sRNA from 1 species